CUGGCUCAGGAUGAACGCUGGCGGUCUGCUUAACACAUGCAAGUCGAACGCAACCUUCGGGUUGAGUGGCGGACGGGUGAGUAACGCGUGAGAAUCUGCCUUGGGGUCGGGGACAACCACUGGAAACGGUGGCUAAUACCGGAUAAGCCUUUGGGUAAAAGAUUUAUUGCCCCAAGAGGAGCUCGCGUCUGAUUAGCUAGUUGGUGAGGUAAGAGCUCACCAAGGCAGCGAUCAGUAGCUGGUCUGAGAGGACGAUCAGCCACACUGGGACUGAGACACGGCCCAGACUCCUACGGGAGGCAGCAGUGGGGAAUUUUCCGCAAUGGGCGAAAGCCUGACGGAGCAAGACCGCGUGAGGGAGGAAGGCUCUUGGGUUGUAAACCUCUUUUCUCAGGGAAGAAGCUCUGACGGUACCUGAGGAAUCAGCCUCGGCUAACUCCGUGCCAGCAGCCGCGGUAAUACGGAGGAGGCAAGCGUUAUCCGGAAUUAUUGGGCGUAAAGCGUCCGCAGGUGGCGAUUCAAGUCUGCUGUCAAAGCACGGGGCUUAACUCCGUUAAGGCAGUGGAAACUGAAUAGCUAGAGUGCCGUAGGGGUAGAGGGAAUUCCCGGUGUAGCGGUGAAAUGCGUAGAGAUCGGGAAGAACAUCGGUGGCGAAAGCGCUCUACUGGACGGCAACUGACACUCAGGGACGAAAGCUAGGGGAGCGAAUGGGAUUAGAUACCCCAGUAGUCCUAGCUGUAAACGAUGGAUACUAGGUGUAGCUUGUAUCGACCCGAGCUGUGCCGAAGCUAACGCGUUAAGUAUCCCGCCUGGGGAGUACGCACGCAAGUGUGAAACUCAAAGGAAUUGACGGGGGCCCGCACAAGCGGUGGAGUAUGUGGUUUAAUUCGAUGCAACGCGAAG
rnacentral:rRNA from 1 species